AGCGGCGGACGGGUGAGUAACGCGUGGGUAACCUGCCCUGUACACACGGAUAACAUACCGAAAGGUAUGCUAAUACGAGAUAAUAUGCUUUUAUCGCAUGGUAGAAGUAUCAAAGCUUUUGCGGUACAGGAUGGACCCGCGUCUGAUUAGCUAGUUGGUAAGGUAACGGCUUACCAAGGCGACGAUCAGUAGCCGACCUGAGAGGGUGAUCGGCCACAUUGGAACUGAGACACGGUCCAAACUCCUACGGGAGGCAGCAGUGGGGAAUAUUGCACAAUGGGCGAAAGCCUGAUGCAGCAACGCCGCGUGAGCGAUGAAGGCCUUCGGGUCGUAAAGCUCUGUCCUCAAGGAAGAUAAUGACGGUACUUGAGGAGGAAGCCCCGGCUAACUACGUGCCAGCAGCCGCGGUAAUACGUAGGGGGCUAGCGUUAUCCGGAAUUACUGGGCGUAAAGGGUGCGUAGGUGGUUUCUUAAGUCAGAGGUGAAAGGCUACGGCUCAACCGUAGUAAGCCUUUGAAACUGGGAAACUUGAGUGCAGGAGAGGAGAGUGGAAUUCCUAGUGUAGCGGUGAAAUGCGUAGACAUUAGGAGGAACACCAGAUGCGAAGGCGGCUCUCUGGACUGUAACUGACACUGAGGCACGAAAGCGUGGGGAGCAAACGGGAUUAGAUACCCUGGUAGUCCACGCCGUAAACGAUGAGUACUAGCUGU
rnacentral:rRNA from 1 species